UGGAAUGAUUUCCAUUAAAUGUGCACCUAAAGAUCUGUCGCAGUGCAGUGCAGUGCAGUGGCAAGCAGAGCAGAGUCGAGUAGCAAGAUCUUAGAUCAGAGUGUGACAAGCUAACUAGUUUUAAUGUGUCUGAUCUGAUCAGUAGAAAAUAACUGCAGAUUGUCAUAAUGUCCUCUAGUGGUGGUGGUUCAUCUGCUCCAUCUGACGCAACGAGACGAAUUGUUGAAACUGAAGUAAAACGCAUAAUUCUCUCCAGAUAUCGUAGAAGAAAUGCUAUAGUUGGUCUGUGUCUCCUGGGUGGAGUGCUGAGUGUGUAUGGCUACUCCAUGUUUGCCGUUAGACAGGAGAGCUUAAACCUAGAUGACAUUGUAGACCCAAAUGAAAAUGUUUCAAACAAUCCAGCACUGUUUGCUAGCAAAUCAAAGUAGUUUUGCUUUGUGCUUAAUACAUUCACGUUCAUAAAUAAAAAUUGAACACAUCGUA